rnacentral:rRNA from 1 species
ACUUUCAACAACGGAUCUCUUGGUUCUGGCAUCGAUGAAGAACGCAGCGAAAUGCGAUAAGUAAUGUGAAUUGCAGAAUUCAGUGAAUCAUCGAAUCUUUGAACGCACAUUGCGCCCCUCGGUAUUCCGGGGGGCAUGCCUGUUCGAGCGUCAUUGC